ACGCAGCUAACGCGUGAAGUCGACCGCCUGGGGAGUACGGCCGCAAGGCUAAAACUCAAAGGAAUUGACGGGGACCCGCACAAGCGGUGGAUGAUGUGGAUUAAUUCGAUGCAACGCGAAAAACCUUACCUACCCUUGACAUGCCCGGAACCUGAGCGAGAGCUUGGGGUGCCCGCAAGGGAAUCGGGACACAGGUGCUGCAUGGCUGUCGUCAGCUCGUGUCGUGAGAUGUUGGGUUAAGUCCCGCAACGAGCGCAACCCUUGUCUCCAGUUGCCAUCACGUGAUGGUGGGCACUCUGGAGAGACUGCCGGUGACAAACCGGAGGAAGGUGGGGAUGACGUCAAGUCCUCAUGGCCCUUACAGGUUGGGCUACACACGUACUACAAUGGCAAUCACAAUGGGAAGCCAGUCCGCAAGGACGAGCCGAUCCUUAAAGGUUGCCUCAGUUCAGAUUGUCCUCUGCAACUCGAGGGCAUGAAGUUGGAAUCGCUAGUAAUCGCGGAUCAGCAGGUCGCGGUGAAUACGUUCCCGGGCCUUGUACACACCGCCCGUCACACCAUGGAAGUUGGUUCUACCUGAAGGCGCUGCGCUGACCGCAAGGAGGCAGGCGACCACGGUAGGGUCAGUAACUGGGGUGAAGUCGUAACAAGGUAACCGUA
rnacentral:rRNA from 1 species